UGUCCUACGGGAGGCUGCAGUCGAGAAUCAUUCGCAAUGGGCGAAAGCCUGACGAUGCGACGCCGUGUGAGCGAUGAAGGCCUUAGGGUCGUAAAGCUCUUUCGCCUGGGAGCAAGAGAAGCUGACUAAUAUUCGGCUAAUUUGAGAGUACCAGGUAAAGAAGCACCGGCUAACUCCGUGCCAGCAGCUGCGGUAAUACGGAGGGUGCAAGCAUUAAUCGGAUUUAUUGGGCGUAAAGGGCGCGUAGGCGGGAACAUAAGUCAGAUGUGAAAUCCUGGAGCUCAACUCCAGAACAGCAUUUGAAACUAUAUUUCUUGAGGGUAGGCGGAGAAAACGGAAUUCCACAUGUAGCGGUGAAAUGCGUAGAUAUGUGGAAGAACAUCGGUGGCGAAGGCGGUUUUCUAGCUUAUUCCUGACGCUGAGGCGCGAAAGCAAGGGGAGCAAACAGGAUUAGAUACCCGUGUAGUCGG
rnacentral:rRNA from 1 species